rnacentral:piRNA from 1 species
ACCCGCCGUCGUUCAAGGUCUAGAGCGCCAA